GAUGAACGCUGCGGCGUGCCUAAUACAUGCAAGUCGAGCGGACAGACGAGGAGCUUGCUCCUCUGACGUUAGCGGCGGACGGGUGAGUAACACGUGGAUAACCUACCUAUAAGACUGGGAUAACUUCGGGAAACCGGAGCUAAUACCGGAUAAUAUAUUGAACCGCAUGGUUCAAUAGUGAAAGACGGUUUUGCUGUCACUUAUAGAUGGAUCCGCGCCGCAUUAGCUAGUUGGUAAGGUAACGGCUUACCAAGGCAACGAUGCGUAGCCGACCUGAGAGGGCGAUCGGCCACACUGGAACUGAGACACGGUCCAGACUCCUACGGGAGGCAGCAGUAGGGAAUCUUCCGCAAUGGGCGAAAGCUUGACGGAGCAACGCCGCGUGAGUGAUGAAGGUCUUCGGAUCGUAAAACUCUGUUAUUAGGGAAGAACAAAUGUGUAAGUAACUAUGCACGUCUUGACGGUACCUAAUCAGAAAGCCACGGCUAACUACGUG
rnacentral:rRNA from 1 species